AUGAGCCGCUUCGACGGCCGCGCCGCGGACCCCGGCUCGUACCGCGACCGCCGCAGCGAAGGGGCGUUCGGGGGCGGGACGAGGGCGUUCGCCCCGACGAGCAAGGCGGACUCCGCGGCCGCGGCCGCUGACCUGGAUGGGCUGCCGCGGUUCGAGAAGAACUUCUACGUGGAGUCCCCCUCCGUGGCCGGCAUGACGGAGGAGGAGGUGGAGGCCUACCGGCGCCGCCGGGAGAUCACCGUGGAGGGCCGCGACGUGCCCAAGCCAGUGCGCGAGUUCCGCGAUGUCGGAUUCCCAGAAUAUGUUUUGCAAGAAAUUACAAAAGCUGGGUUUGUAGAACCUACUCCUAUCCAGUCUCAAGGUUGGCCAAUGGCACUGAGGGGACGUGAUCUUAUUGGCAUUGCUGAAACAGGAUCAGGGAAAACACUUGCUUACCUUUUACCUGCCAUUGUUCAUGUUAAUGCUCAGCCGAUUCUAGCACCUGGCGAUGGUCCAAUUGUUCUGGUGUUAGCCCCUACACGUGAACUUGCUGUGCAGAUACAGCAAGAGGCAACUAAGUUUGGUGCGUCAUCAAAAAUAAAAAGUACUUGCAUAUAUGGUGGUGUUCCAAAAGGUCCUCAAGUUCGCGAUCUUCAAAAAGGCGUUGAAAUUGUUAUAGCCACGCCAGGAAGACUGAUUGAUAUGAUAGAAUCACAUCAUACAAAUUUGCGGAGGGUCACUUACCUUGUUUUAGAUGAGGCAGACCGGAUGCUGGAUAUGGGCUUUGAACCUCAGAUUAAGAAAAUUGUUUCUCAGAUUCGUCCAGAUCGCCAAACAUUAUAUUGGAGUGCUACUUGGCCAAAGGAAGUUGAACAGCUAGCAAGGAACUUUCUUUUCGACCCAUACAAGGUCAUAAUUGGUUCUGAGGAGUUGAAAGCUAAUCAUGCCAUUUCUCAACAUGUGGAGAUAUUAUCCGAGAGUCAGAAGUACAAUAAGUUGGUUAAUCUACUGGAGGAUAUAAUGGAUGGCAGCCGGAUAUUAAUAUUUAUGGACACGAAGAAGGGAUGUGAUCAAAUCACUAGACAGCUUCGGAUGGAUGGUUGGCCUGCUCUGUCUAUCCAUGGUGACAAAAGCCAAGCUGAGAGGGAUUGGGUUCUUUCUGAAUUUAAAUCAGGGAAAAGCCCUAUCAUGACAGCGACUGAUGUGGCUGCUCGAGGCUUAGAUGUUAAGGAUGUUAAAUAUGUCAUUAACUAUGACUUUCCGGGAUCAUUGGAGGAUUAUGUUCAUCGCAUUGGUCGAACUGGCAGAGCUGGAGCAAAAGGAACAGCUUACACGUUUUUCACUGCUGCUAAUGCCAGAUUUGCCAAGGAUCUGAUCAACAUACUAGAAGAAGCUGGACAAAAGGUCAGCCCUGAAUUAGCUAAUAUGGGUCGUGGUGCACCACCCCCUUCUUCAGGCCACCGUGAUAGAUAUAGAGGGUAUGGAGGUGGCCGGUCAUGGAGCUGAUUUUCAUAUGUUGUUAUUGCAGAGAGCAAUGUUUGGCCUUUCUUUGUGGAUGGCUAUGUGUAUUUCUGGCUCACUGAAUCUUUUAACUAAUGAUCGGUAAAGGACCGUCUUGAAGCAGAGCUACAAUAAAUCUGGGGAUGCAUUUGGUUCGCUAGGAGGGCUUCUCUGGUGGUCCAAGAGCUGUAGCUGCAAACCGUACAGCUUGGCAAUAUGGGAGCACCUAUAUGCCUGCAACUCUGAACAAGAGCUUUACUACUAUCAAUGUUGAUAGUUGAUUUACUGGCUUCAUGUGGACAGUGGCCAGUUGCUCGCAUAACACAGUAAUAUGUUAUAUGUAGGCCAGCUAGCUGCUUGUGCAACCAAUGCAAAUGCGUGCAGAUGCAGUGCACGCAUGCAUGAAUCUGUGCUAUGCAUGUGCCAGGUUCUAAAGUCCAUAGUACUAAAUUACUGGUCAAUUUAUUACGGAAACUGGCAUGAUGAUGUAGCCGGAUUGUCUUUGUAAGACAUGUGGACCCAAUGAUUAUCGGACCCACAAUGUCAGUGACAAAGUCACGUGACUUUGACUGCAGAGGAUCCUGAUCCAAUGUAGCUUAGCUACAUAAAGCACGAGUAAUAUUAUGUGAUUUGCUUUUUUACAAGAUGUUGCAAAACGCUUCUCUUAGGAUCAAUUAGAUAGAGGUCAGCACAAGCAUAAUGGGGAAUUGGAAGAUGGUCAAA